UACAGAGGGUGCGAGCGUUGUUCGGAAUUAUUGGGCGUAAAGGGCGCGUAGGCGGUGCCACAAGUCACCUGUGAAAUCCCCGGGCUUAACUCGGGGCCUGCAGGCGAAACUGUGGUGCUGGAGUAUGGGAGAGGUGCGUGGAAUUCCCGGUGUAGCGGUGAAAUGCGCAGAUAUCGGGAGGAACACCUGUGGCGAAGGCGGCCUUCUGGACAGUGACUGACGCUGAGACGCGAAAGCGUGGGGAGCAAACAGG
rnacentral:rRNA from 1 species